rnacentral:lncRNA from 1 species
CACCUUUAUGUCUGAUUUCGAGAUCAGAUUCUAUUGUUUGAUAGGUCAAUGGGAGUCUAGAAGAAUCCUAGAUGAAUUAAAAGUCUUAAAUAUUGUCUUACUCUUUUUGCUAUUUUAUUUUAGAUUCCUUUUGCUAUUAGGGUAGAACUUUUUUUCUAUAAAUAUGAUCCUUUUAGUCAACGUUGUAAUCAGUUUAUUUUCGUGAUAUUAAAACAAAAACUGCAAAAGAGAGUUUUUUUUUUUUUUUUCUUGUUUCAUGCAUCUUUUUUCUCUCUCUCUCCAUCAAAAUGUGGCCUAGGCUGCAUGAGAUUGCUCCUUGACUUAUGGAUUAAUAAAGAACAAGAGGUAUGCCUAUAUCCUUGUGGAUCUU